GUAUCCAUUGUGUGGGUAUUAUAAUAGAAGUGAUUUGAAGCGAUCCCAUGCUUCAUGAAAGGACUCAAUGUCCUUUUGAUAAAAGUUGAAAAUUUCAAUCCUUAAUUC
rfam:Ricinus communis cultivar Hale ctg_1100012362096, whole genome shotgun sequence.